ACAUGACCCGUCGAACGAGGUACCCCUGAAGGAGUUUUCGGUCAACUAAAGGGACUACCGAGUGGCGGACGGGUGAGUAACGCGUGAGUAACCUGCCUUGGAGUGGGGAAUAACAGCCGGAAACGACUGCUAAUACCGCAUAAUGCAUUUGAGCUGCAUGGCUCUGAAUGCCAAAGAUUUAUCGCUCUGAGAUGGACUCGCGUCUGAUUAGCUAGUUGGUGGGGUAAAGGCUCACCAAGGCGACGAUCAGUAGCCGGACUGAGAGGUUGAACGGCCACAUUGGGACUGAGACACGGCCCAGACUCCUACGGGAGGCAGCAGUGGGGAAUAUUGGGCAAUGGGCGCAAGCCUGACCCAGCAACGCCGCGUGAAGGAAGAAGGCUUUCGGGUUGUAAACUUCUUUUAAGAGGGACGAAACAAAUGACGGUACCUCUUGAAUAAGCCACGGCUAACUACGUGCCAGCAGCCGCGGUAAUACGUAGGUGGCAAGCGUUAUCCGGAUUUACUGGGUGUAAAGGGCGUGUAGGCGGGACUGCAAGUCAGAUGUGAAAACCAUGGGCUCAACCCAUGGCCUGCAUUUGAAACUGUGGUUCUUGAGUGAUGGAGAGGCAGGCGGAAUUCCCCUGUGUAGCGGUGAAAUGCGUAGAUAUAGGGAGGAACACCAUUGGCGAAGGC
rnacentral:rRNA from 1 species